rnacentral:rRNA from 1 species
UACGGAGGAGGCAAGCGUUAUCCGGAAUUAUUGGACGUAAAGCGUCCGUAGGUGGCUAGUCAAGUCUGCGGUCAAAGACUGGGGCUUAACCCUGGAAAGGCCGUGGAAACUGACGAGCUAGAGUGCAGUAGGGGUAGAGGGAAUUCCCGGUGUAGCGGUGAAAUGCGUAGAGCUCGGGAAGAACAUCGGUGGCGAAAGCGCUCUACUGGACUGCAACUGACACUCAGGGACGAAAGCUAGGGGAGCGAAUGGG